GUCUACGGCCAUACCACUCUGAACGCGCCCGAUCUUGUCUGAUCUCGGAAGAAAUCAAACAGCAGGGUGUAGUAACUUACAGAAAAAGUAAUGAUUUCUGGGCUUCAUGGGCU
rnacentral:rRNA from 14 species